rnacentral:rRNA from 1 species
UACGUAGGUGGCAAGCGUUAUCCGGAAUUACUGGGCGUAAAGCGCACGCAGGCGGUCUUUUAAGUUUGACGUGAAAGCUCCCGGCUUAACUGGGAGAGGUCGUUGAAUACUGGAAGACUUGAGGCAAUGAGAGGGGUGUAGAAUUCCCGGUGUAGUGGUGGAAUGCGUAGAUAUCGGGGGGAAUACCAGUGGCGAAAGCGUUCUGCUAGACCUGUACUGACACUGAGGGACGAAAGCUAGGGGAGCGAAUGGG